CAGGAGAAAGCCAGGAGUGUCUUGGGGCGUCUGGGGCCACUGCAGAACACGCAUGGUGUCGGGGGACUGCCCGGCUGAGGGGUCCAGGGAGGCGAGGACUGAGAACUGACUUUGGAGAAUGACCUUAGCAGCAUGGAGGUCACUGGUGACUGGACAAGAAGUCUGAGUGGCCAAGAGUCUACCAGGGGCAGAAGGGAGCUUGAGACAGCAGGAGUCUGUAACUUUUUCGACAGUUUUGCUGUGAGGAUGUAGAGAACAGAGAAGAUAGGACACUUACUCACGGGGUCGCUCAUCCAGGAAGUGGCGAAGUGCAGAGUGGGCCCAGGAGCUGAGACUGGCAACCACAGGGAGGCGCGCUGUCCCUAUAGAGAAUCUGACGCGCUCCGAGGGACGGCCAUGGGUCAGGCGUUUUAAGGGCGCGUGCCCUCGGCCAUUGUGGUUCAGCAUCUAGAACUUUACCCUGAGGAAUCAUGGAUGUAAACAAGCGUUCAUUGGAAAAGGUGUCUCCCAGUGUUUAUAACAGAAAACCUAGAUAGAAGCUGAAAGCCACUGACAGACGGUCAGAUGAGGAGUCUCUGAAAAUAAUAGUGUGAAACGUGACUAAUGCAGUGGAAGACCAACAUAACACAUAAAUGCCAAACCCGUCCCUACCGUGGUGCGUACAGCAAGGACCCAGUUCGCCCAGAGAGCACUCGAGACCGUGUCCAGAGUGCUGGUCAUCAGGAAAAUGGAAACCGCGGCUGCUCUCUCCUCCGUGGGAAGCGAUAGAAGCGAGCAAGCGCGUGGUGGAAACUCGCACUUUCUGAAAUAACUGUGCUUUGACUCGGAGGGGAAACAGGAAGCCCUUCUAUCUGUUUAGGUGAGUUUUUAUCUCUGCCGGUGGGGCCUGUCCUUUUAAGUUAUGUUUCUGCAAAAGUACUGGUUGAAUCUCUAGUGUGAACAGGAAGUCAGAUAUGCUGACUAACUUUUCCUUUAUUUUAACGGCGUUUUUUAUUGUUUUGAAAACGAAGGCAGAAAGCAGAGAGGCCGAAGCUGCCGCCUUGAGCCCUGGGGGCCU
rnacentral:lncRNA from 1 species